GGUGUUCUUGCUGUCGGGCUCCCCUUUCUGGGAGCUUGAGGAUCUGUGCACCAUCUGUGCACUCCAGUGGCCCUGCGGCCGUCCAGCUGGAGCCCUUGGUCCCGGAGGCACUUGCGUGGGCACCGGGCGUCCCGAGGGGGUGGCGACUUCAGCCUCGGGGAAGCCCUGGGCCUGGGGUUCCAAGCAUGACUCGUCCACUUCCAGGGUUCAUGUUUUGCCAGCGUCUGUUCCACGUCGCUUGGUCCCAUCUGUCCCCUCAUGCUUCACAGCAGGUGCUAGCAGGUUGGCUGGAGUUGGUCGGUGCUCCCUUCCCAAACUGAACUGCUGUCCAUCAGGGUGGUGAAGAGGAACUGGAAUGAGGACCAUGCAGAGCUGACAUGAAGGAAUACAAGAUGAUUCAUUCAGUGAGAAUUUGGAUGCUGGUGGAAAUCCAGGCCUCCAGUGAACUCGUUGGUAUAGAUGGUUUAAACCAGAGCAGCGGAAUGUAGCAUGGACAUCGUUGCAAAGGAGUAAUUUGAAAAAUGGAAGAAAAAAAAAAAAGAUGCAAGGAUUGAGUCUCCAUUUGAGUUCCUUCCUUGGGCUCAGUACAAACGCUAAUAAAUUCACAGGGAUAUCUUGAAAUAAAACCCCUGUGACACUCUUACUGAUCCUUAUUUGGCACCUUGGAUGGAUAAGGCAAAAGACACAAAACUUAAAAGUUCAAGUGGUCAGAGCAAGAACGGUAGGAAACUUCCCUAAGCAUGGAAGAGACCGA